rnacentral:lncRNA from 1 species
UUAAGAUUUAGGAUUUGAUUAGGGUUUGAUUUAGGAUUAGGAUUUGAUUAGGAUUUGGUUUAAGAUUUAAGAUUUGGUUAGGAUUUUAUUUAGGAUUUAGGAUUAAGAAUUUGAUUAGGAUUUGAUUAGGAUUUGAUUUAGGAUUAGGAUUUGGUUAGGAUUUGAUUUAGGAUUAGGAUUUGGUUAGGAUUUGAUUUAGGAUUAGAAUUUGGUUAGGAUUUGAUUUAGGAUUUAGGAUUUGGUUUAGGAUUUAAGGUUUAAUUAGGAUUUGGUUUAGAAUUUAAGAUUUCAUUAGGAUUUGAUGUAGGAUUAGGAUUAGAUUAAGGUUUGAUUUAGGAUUAGGAUUUGAUUAGGAUUUGAUUUAGAAUUAGGAUUUGACUUAGGAUUUAGGAUUUGGUUAAGGUUUGAUUUAGAGUUAGGAUUUGAUUAAGAUUUGGUUUAGGAUUUAGAAUUUGAUUUAGGAUUUAAGGUUUGGUUAAGGUUUGAUUUAAGAUUUAGGAUUUGAUUAAGAUUUGAUUUAGGAUUUGGUUAGGAUUUGAUUUAGGGUUUAAGAUUUUAUUAGGAUUUAUUUAGGAUUUGAGAUUUAGUUAGUUUUUGGCCUAAAUUUUGAAUGAAGUCUAAUAGGAUUUUAAUUAAGAUUGAAUUGAGAUAUAUUUGUGAUCAUUUUAAUAUUUUUUUAAGAUUUCU